GGCAACUGGUUUAUCUCAAGCUUCUGCCAUUGAGAGUGAAAGCAACAGUAUCUAAGACUUGAUUGUGAACUUGAUAUUCCCUAACUCACUGAACUCUUGGAGUCUAGCAAUCUCAAUUUAAAGAUGUUAGGACAAAUGCAGUGCACCACAAUGGGCAGCGAACACCGCUACACAUAAUGGGCAACGUUUGAUGCAGAAACACCAGCUGAGACAACCUGCACUUGAUUGGAGCAACAUGU